rnacentral:rRNA from 1 species
UACGUAGGUGUCGAGCGUUGUCCGGAUUUAUUGGGCGUAAAGAGCCCGCAGGCGGCUUGUCUAGUCCGAGGUGAAAUCUCCCGGCUCAACUGGGAGGGUGCCUCGGAAACUGGCAGGCUUGAGGCAGGGAGAGGGAUGUGGAAUUCCAGGUGUAGUGGUGAAAUGCGUAGAUAUCAGGAGGAACACCUGCGGUGUAGACGGCUUUCUGGACCAUUGCUGACGCUGAGACACGAAAGCGUGGGUAGCAAACAGG